UUUGUUUCUUUUUGUUUUUGAGUCAGUUUAAAGGUUUUAGCAAACCCUCCUAAUCCCCGGUUUAGAACGAUCCCUACUUACAUACUUUGCUACAAUUGUCAAAAGAGGGUUUAAUUUGUGUGCUUAAUAAUAUUUCGCAUCAACACUGUCUUUAAGGAGCUGAAAGUAUGGUCACUAUUCUUAUGAGGACUAAGUCACCGUUUGAAAUUUUACCUCCUUUAACCAUUGUAUUAAUCCUUGGCUUGAUUGCUUGGAAUAGGACACUAGGGAAGAAAGGAUCCCUCAUCCCGAGACUUCUUCUCCUUUGGUCCGAGUAAUGUAUGCUUCCCUUUCUUGGGCUAAACCUUCUAAGGCCAAGGUUAGAAAACCUACGUCUUCAAUUGGGCAAAACUCUACUCUCACUCCUCAAACUCUUCCCCCAACACUGGUGGUGACAUGAACUUCUCAAUUCAACCCAUCAAUUGGGGAAAUGCUACAUUAUGUGGAGGAAGAUAGCAACUCGUCCUCUCCAGUGUAUGAAGCCUAUCAACCACCACUAACUACUUUUGGGGAGCCAAUAGUCAUUGAGAUCCUUAUGGUCUAAGAAGUGACUAGCUUGAGAGCUUCCCAUGCUGCUUCUCGGGUCAACCCACUGGCUUCUUCGAAGGCCAUUGCCACCACAGAGGUGUUUCCUCAUUCUCUUCAAAGUCCUGCAUAGUUUUCUGGUGAGGGGUUGGGCUAAUCUCCUCGGCCCACUUUAGGAAGUAAAGUUGACUAUCCUACACCAUUAAAGGCAACAAGAACUCAUCCACCUUCUUCCAAGGCUCCGAGCUCAACCAAGGGUUCUGGCGAAGGCUGGGGCCAAUCCCUUCCGCCUUUAGUGCACAAAGUAGCUCUUCCUAGGCCUCCCUUGGUUUCUGAGGGUACGAGGAUCCCUAUCCCUCGGCCAAAGAAGAAAAUCAAGACUGCUGUUGGUCCGUCCACUCCUAGGUCUCCUCCUCCCAUUGCUACCGAGACUGCCUCCACUGCUGUAGUUUUUGAAAGAGUUGGAGCAUUGCAUCCUCCUCUCACAUCUAUAUCUGCAAUAGCCUCUUUGCCCGAGCUUGUCUUAGCGCCUUUGGGCCUUCUAUCAUUUAAGCCCAAUAUUCAAAUAUUAACCCAAAUAAUGCCCCUUUUAAUCAUUGUUAAGUCUACAAACCAAGGCCUGAAUGAUGAUUAAAAUGAACUACACGCUUUUGCUUGGGACUUGUACUAUUUUAAACAGCCGCUUUAGAACUAAACCUUUGCACUAAUCCACGAUCUCCAACGUUAACUAAUUGUUCUUUAUAUAAUCUUAACUGAAAUCCAUUGGUCAAAUACCUUAGCAAUUCUAAUCCUUCGAAUUUCCAGAACCCCCAAUUUUCCAGAACUUUCUUGUUUUCGAAGUCUCUUUCUUGCUUUAUGCCCUCAAUUUCCUUCCAUCUUCUUUCCAAGAUCAUCCAAUGGCUCCUAAAACUACUCGCUAUGCAUAUGAGUCUGGUGAAAGCAUUGUCAACAUGUGCCGCCUCCUCAAUGGCCUUCAUCGCCAUCGGGCUAGCUUGAACACUUCAAUUUUCUUUAAAAAGGGAGAAGUACACUCCCUGGGGCCUGCAUGGACUUCUAGGGCCCCAAUUUCUAUGGAAAACAAUAUGCCCAAAGUAAACAGGUUUACCUUUGACCCAUAUUCUUCCAAAGUUGGCAUUUCCUCCUUCAAAUGGUCUACCCAUCUAAGAGGUUUCCCCUUGAUAAAGGACAAGGCCUGGGCAUAAUGGGUAAAUAACUUGAGCCUAUUUUCAAAAAGAAAUGGAUGAACAACGGCAUCUACGAGCUCAUUAUGCACUCCAAGGUCACGGUGGUUGCCAAGCCUAAGCUCUUGACCAUAACUCUCAUUUUCUAGAACAUUAGGACCAACAUAUUCGACUUUCGAAUGGGUUAUAUGUCCUCAACCAUCAUUGACAUGGCUCAAGUCUAAGAGCUAAAGCCUUCGGGAAGAUGUGUGGAUGUUACCCACGACUGGUCUUUCUCCUCUUGCCCGACUGCUGAAGGUUUAGGCAACUUUGACUCCAUCAUUCAGCUGGAGUACACCCCUUCAACAUUGAAGAGCUAUGGGAUUUCAUUUGCGGGCUUCAUUCAGUUUGCUAAAAGCACAUUCAGCCCGCCUUCUGCCGCUGCAGAUAGAGACCAAGAGCACAUGUACUUUCUCUUGUACUGUCUCAAUAAGCAUGUAUUCCCUAAUAAAUCCAAAUGAGUGAAGUUAAAGUGGAUUCUUUUGGCGGAAGCCUUGCAUUCAUUUGACGACGUGGCCACGAGACUCUUUCUUCUUGCCCAUCUUUACCAUAUUUUGUACGAGAUGACCAAGGGUUCGCCCUUUGAGACUAACCUCAAUAGACCAACCUAAAUGGUCCAACUAUGGUUGCAAUGGUAUUUCUUCGAGCUUCAGGUGCUAAACUUGGAGUUCCCUGAAGAAGUGGCUUCUACCCGCAUCCUGGCUGAGGUAUCUCCUACCAACCACUCUACCUUCUCCUACCUAUAUUUCUUCAGAGUUUGCCAGACUCUGGCAGACUUGGAGUGGGGAGCUUUAGUACUCAAGAAGUAUCUAUGGUUCUUAGACCAAAUUUUCUAAGAUACUUUUGGGGAAGAUUCUAGCCAACUUUGCAAGGAGAAGUUUAUCCACUACAUCCAGCAAAAAGACUUAGUUUGGGGAAUAUGUUGUGAUCGCACAGGAUAUGAACGCGGGCUGGAAGUUUAUCACCCCAACUUCUGUGCUAGGCAGUUGGGGUUCAAACAAGUCAUUCUAGUCCCGUUUUUCGACUCGAUGCACUGUGGCACUUCUUAUUGCCUCUGCUUUUCCCGAGAAGUUACAUUUUGAGUAGCUCGGCGCAACCUGGAAGUGUUGAGCAAGGUCGCCCGCAAGCCUAUGGCACUAAAAUUUGAAUGCGCUUCAUUCUUCUGCACUUGGUGGGAGACUAAGUGGUCUAAGAACUACGGGGGAGCUUUGCUGUAAACCCACGACCAUUUCUUUAGGCAGCUCUCCAUCAAGUCUUAUCCCAAGCCGAGCAAGCUCGAAAGCUGGAAAAAGAUCGUACACUAGAAGAACCAGCUUCUUCUAAUAGCCCAAGGCAACAUUGAGGAAGUUGCAGACGUACUUAUCAUCCAAGAGGUUACAGCCGAGGCUGCGAGACAAGGUGUUGGGUCUAGUUACGUGGUGGGAGAGACUGAGGAUGUCUCUGAGUUAUUUGGAGACUCUGAGGAUGAGGCUGAGCCUGUAGUAAAGACUCAGGCACCUCGACAGACGAGGGCAACGGUGGUGGAAACUUUAAAUUCCGAGCUUGAAGAACAGCCCGAGCCUCAACUUGCCUUGCCUGUUCCGCGGACAACUCUAACCAAGAAAAUGACUAAAGCCCAAACCCCCAAAGCCCCCACUGUCUCCACUACCCCUCAAGCUAAGGUUGGCAAAAAGAAGCAGAAGUCUUCUAGUAAGUGAUCUCCAUUUUAAUCUUCUUUCCUUAGCUGCAAUUUCACUCCAUCAUGGAACAUGAGCUAAUAACUCAUUCUUUCUUGUAACUAGGGCCCCAAGCAACUAAAAGAUCCAUUCUUGUUGCAAGAGAGGAACCAUUGGGUGUAAAAAUGCACCAAAGGGACAAGGAUCUUUGAUAGGAGCAUAUUUAUGCGACUUAGUUAGCUUGUUCUUGUGCAUUUACGUUGUAUUUCCUUAGUUAUUUUAGUGUUUAAAGUUAUUUUUGUGUGUUUUCAGACUCUAAGUAC